UACGGAGGGUGCAAGCGUUGUUCGGAAUCAUUGGGCGUAAAGCGCGUGUAGGUGGCUUGGCAAGUCGGUUGUGAAAUCCCGGGGCCCAACCCCGGAACUGCAUUCGAAACUGCUUCGCUAGAGUCCCGGAGAGGAAGGCGGAAUUCCCGGUGUAGAGGUGAAAUUCGUAGAUAUCGGGAGGAACACCAGCGGCGAAGGCGGCCUUCUGGACGGUGACUGACACUGAGACGCGAAAGCGUGGGGAGCAAACAGG
rnacentral:rRNA from 1 species